ACCUGGAUAUUACGAGGAUGGGAAUUUUGGAAUAAGAUUUGGAGAACAUGCUUAUAAUCAACGAAGCUAAUACAAAAUUCAACUUUGGUGCCAAGGGUUACUUGCAAUUUGAGCACAUAACAUGGGCACCAUAUCAGAGAAAGUUGAUCGACUUGAGUCUUUUAGCA